ensembl:misc_RNA Y_RNA Y RNA
UGCCUGUUUGAAGAUAGUGAGUUAUCUCAAAUGAUUGCUCAAUUACAGGUUGAACUCCUUGUUCAACUCUUUCCCCACUUCUCACUACUGCACUUGACCAGUCAAAA